rnacentral:lncRNA from 10 species
CAGCAGUCCCGGUGGUUAGCAGCCCAAGGGUCUAGUUUGAGGCACUAAGGAGGAUAAUGCAUCCGUUUGAAAAGAGUCCUUAUAAGAGAAACAUGGAUUCUGCUAAAAUUCAAGCAAGAACAGACAUCACAUUUGUGGUGAAGCUUGGGUGGAAGAAUGGUAACAUCACUGAUGCUUUACAAAAAGUUUAUGGAGAAAAUUCUUCAAGUGAUAAUUUUACAAAUGAAUAACUUGUUUUAGGAAAGGACAGGGCCGUGUGAGGUGGCUCACGCUUAUAAUCCCAGCACUUUGAGAGGCCAAGGAUGAUUGCUUGAGGCCAAGAGUUUGAGACCAGCUUAGGCAACAAAGUGAGACCCUUUCUCUACAAAAAAUAGAACAUUUACCUGGGUGCGGUGGUGCAUGCCUACAGUCUGAGCUACUUGGGAGGCUGAGGCAGGAGGAUUGCUUAAGCCCAGGAGUUUGAGCCUGCAGAGAGUUACAAUGGUGCUACUGCACUCCGACAUGGGUGACAGAGUGAGACCCUGUCUCUUAAAAGGAAAAGGAAAAGAAAGGACAACAUUGUUGAAGAUGAAGCCUGCAGCAGCAGACUAUCCACAUCAAUUUGCAAGGAAAAAAUUUUCUUGUUCAUACCCUAAUCAACAAUACAAACAAUAGAAAAUUAACAGCACAAACAAUAGCCAACAUUCUCGACAUUUCAACUGGUUCAGUUUACACAAUUCUGACUAAAAAAUUAAAGUUGAACAAGCUUCCCGCUCAAUGGGUACCAAAACAGUUGUGCCUGGGUCAGCUGUGGACAAAAGCCGAGCUUUCCGUGGAAAUUUUAAAUACAUAGGAUCAAGAUCCUGAAGCAUUUCUUCAGACUAGUAACGGGAGAUGAAACAUGGCUUUACCAGUAUGGUCCUGAAGACAAGGCACAAUCAAAGCAAUGGCUACCAAGAGGUGAACGUGGUGCAGUCAAAGCAAAAGACGAUGGGUCAAGAGCUGAGGUUAUGGCAACAGUUUUUUGGGAUGCUCAAGGCAUUUUGCUUGUUGAUGUUCUGGACAAUAACAUCUGACUAUUAUGAGAGCAUUUUGAGAAAGCUAGCAAAAGUUUUAGCAGAAAAACUCCUGGAAGAGCUUCACCAGAGAGUCUUUCUCUACCAUGACAAUGCUGCUGCUCAUUCCUCUCAGCAAACAAGGUCAAUCUUGCAAGAGUUUUGAUGAGACAUCAUUAGGUGCCUAUCCUCCAGUCCUGAUUUGGCUCCAUCUGACUUCUUUCUGUUUUCUAUUCUUAAAAAAAUCUUUAAAGAUCACCCAUUUUUCCUCAGUUAAUAACAUAGAAAAGACAACAUGAACAUGGUUAAAUUCCCAGGACCCUCAGUUCUUUAGGGAUGGACAAAAUGGUUGGUAUCAUCACUUAGAAAAGUAUCUUGAACUUGAUGAAGCUUAUGUUGGGAAAUAAAGUUUAUAUUAUUUAUUUAUUUAUUUAUUUAUUUAUUUAUUUAUUUAUUUAAGACAGAGUCUGGCUCUGUCGGCCAGGCUGGAAUGCAGUGGCACGAUCUUGGCUCACUGCAAUCUCCACCUCCUGGGCACAAAUGAUUCUUGUGCCUCAGCCUCCCGAGAAGCUGGGAUUACAGGCACACACCACCACACCUGGCUAAUUUUUGUAUUUUUAGUAGAGAUGGGGUUUCACCAUGUUGGCCAGGCUGGUAUUUUUAUCUUUUAAUUCUUUUUUUUUUUUUUUUUUGAGACGGAGUCUUGCUCUGUCGUUUAGGCUGGACUGCAGUGGCAUGAUCUUGGCUCACUGCAACAUCUGCCUCCCAGGUUCAAGUGAUUCUCCUACAUCAGCAUCCUGAGUAGCUGGGAUUACAGGUGUGCACCAUCAUGCCUGGCUAAUUUUUGUAUUUUUAGUAGAGACCGGGUCUCACCUUGUUGGCCAGGCUGGUCUUGAACUCCUGACCUUAGGUAAUCCUCCUGCCUUGGCCUCCCAAAGUGCUAGGAUUACAGGCGUGAGUCACCGUGCCUGGCCCCCAUGACCUUUUCGAAGUCCCCUAGUAUGCCUUUACACCCAUUUCUAGAAUGAUUCCCAACAUUCCUUCAUUUAUUCCUUUAUUUAUUGAAUAAAUAAUUAUUAAAUGCUUGUCAUGUAUGUUCCAGGCUUUGCUCUAGUAAUUUCGGAUAUAUCAAUGAACAAAGCAGGAAAGAAAAAAAAAAAAGGCAAAAUCUCUGCCUUCCGGGAGCUCACAUUCCCACAGGAGUCACAGGAAACAGCCAAUGACCAGUAAGCAUCACAAAGAAGUCAUGCCAAAGAACCAGACAAAUAGCUGGAAGGAAGAGGGGAACUCCUUUGUGACGCCAAAUGGGCCAAAGGGUCGCUGGGAAAACUAAGCCUUACUGUCCAUCUUGCCUUCAGGAUAAUGUGAAAUAUGGCCUAAUUUUUGAAGUUUUUUUCUUAGAAAUUUUACUGAAUCCAAAAUAAAACAAGAAGAUCAUGGUGGAUAUAGCUUCCAAAUUUAUUCUGCAAUAAAACAGAUGGCAGUAGAGUUAAAGAAAAAAAUCCCAGCAGUUCUUUGUACAGGGAUUUGGUGAUUUUUCCCAUAAAGCUGCGAUGAGGAUGAACUCAGAGCAAAAUCUAUAACUCAGGUGGCAGAGAGGAGAAGCAGCUGGACAUCGGAGACUAUGGCUGGACAUUGGAGAGAAGUGGUUUGACUUCAGAGGGACAGCUUGACAGUGAAGAAUUCGGCCAGAGAUAGCUGGACUUCAGGGGAAGAUGAUCUUUCCGCCUCAUCCCCCUUUCAGCUCCCCUUCCUGCUGAGAGACACUUUAAUCGGCAAUAAAAUCCCCCAUGUUUACCAUCCUUCAAUUCGUUUGUGUGACCUCAUUUCUCCUGGAUGCUGGACAA